rnacentral:rRNA from 1 species
UGGAGGCAGCAGUAGGGGAUAUUGCUCAAUGGACGAAAGUCUGAAGCAGCAACGCCGCGUGAAGGAAGAAGGUCUUCGGAUUGUAAACUUUUGUCUUGUGGGAAGAUAAUGACGGUACCACAGGAGGAAGCCACGGCUAACUACGUGCCAGCAGCCGCGGUAAUACGUAGGUGGCAAGCGUUGUCCGGAUUUACUGGGUGUAAAGGGUGCGCAGGCGGAUAGACAAGUCAGGUGUGAAAAUUAUGGGCUCAACCCAUAAACUGCACUUGAAACUGUUUAUCUUGAGUACAGGAGAGGUAAGCGGAAUUCCCGGUGUAGCGGUGAAAUGCGUAGAGAUCGGGAGGAACACCAGUGGCGAAGGCGGCUUACUGGACUGUAACUGACGCUGAGGCACGAAAGUGUGGGGAGCAAACAGGAUUAGAUACCCCGGUAGC